rnacentral:rRNA from 1 species
GCCAGCAGCCGCGGUAAGACGUAGGGGGCAAGGGUUGUCCGGAAUUACUGGGCGUAAAGGGCGUGUAGGCGGUGCGAUACGUAGCGGUUUUAAGCCUCCGGCUCACCCGGAGGAGGGCGGCUAAACGGUCGCGCUAGAGGGCAGGAGAGGUGCGUGGAAUUCCUGGUGGAGCGGUGAAAUGCGUAGAGAUCAGGAAGAACACCCGUGGCGAAGGCGGCGCACUGGCCUGGCCCUGACGCUGAGGCGCGACAGCGUGGGGAGCGAACGGGAUUAGAUACCCCGGUAGUCCACGCCGUAAACGAUGGGUACUAGGUGUCGCCCGGGUCCACCGGGCGGUGCCGGAGCUAACGCACUAAGUACCCCGCCUGGGGAGUACGGCCGCAAGGUUGAAACUCAAAGGAAUUGACGGGGGCCCGCACAAGCAGUGGAGCAUGUGGUUUAAUUCGACGCAACGCGCAGAACCUUACCAGGACUGGACACGCUCGUGAGCGCCGCGAAAGCGGCGGGCCCUUCGGGGA